AAAGCAUGAUGUGGACAUUUCCUUAGUAACUCCUUGUACCUUUCCCAAGCCUCGUACAAAAAUUCAAUUUCUUGUUGCACAAAAGUAGUGAUUUCAUUCCUGAUUCU